GUUAUACUUCCUCUGUCCGGAAUUACUUAUCGAACAAAUGAAUAAAAGUGGACGUAUCUAAAACUAAAAUAUGUCUAGAUACAUACAUUUCUUCAACAAGUAUUUUCGGACGAAGGGAGUAUAUA
rfam:Triticum aestivum genome assembly, contig: Triticum_aestivum_CS42_TGACv1_scaffold_344254_4DL